UACGGCGGUCAUAGCGAGGGGGAAACGCCCGGUCCCAUCCCGAACCCGGAAGCUAAGCCCUUCAGCGCCGAUGGUACUGCACCGGCCACGGUGUGGGAGAGUAGGUCGCCGCCGGAC
rnacentral:rRNA from 1 species